UCUGUGGAGAGUCGUAACAAACUAGAGUAGUAGAAAUACAAAAUAGGACUUAUUGAAGCAGAAA
rnacentral:ncRNA from 1 species